GACAUCGAGGAUGCUGUAGGUGCGAUGUGAGGGAAGAGUGAUAGCAGUUAGACAUCGAGGAUGCUGUAGGUGCGAUGCGAGGGAAGAGUGAUAGCAGUUGGAAUGCUGGAGGUUGGAUGCAAGAGAAGAGUGAUAGCAGUUAGAUGUCGAGGACGCUGGAGAUGCGAUGCGGGGGAAGAGUGAUAGCAGUUAGGGAUCUGUGCCAGCGAUGUGAUGGGGUUAACAUGCUAUGUCCGCGCGUGGUGUACGCACCGUGUUUUCGUUUGAUCUUGUGAACUCGCUGCUUGUAUUAGUCUGGUUUAACGUAUCCGUGUUUUCCACACUGUGUAAAUGCGCUUCGUCCAUGAUCACAAGUUGUGGUCACUACGUGUAAUGCUUCACAUUAUAAAGCAUUAUAAUUAAAAUCUAAUAUUGACAAAAUUAAAGUAUUUCUUGCAAUUACUGUA